ACGACGCUGGCGGCGUGCCUAAUACAUGCAAGUCGAACGGUCUUUCUAUGGAAGCUUGCUUCCACUGAGAAGAUAGUGGCGAACGGGUGAGUAACACGUGGGUAACCUGCCCAUAAGAGGGGGAUAACAUCCGGAAACGGGUGCUAAUACCGCAUAGUUUUCUUGAUCGCAUGAUUGAGAAAGGAAGACGGCCUUUGUGCUGUCGCUUAUGGAUGGACCCGCGGCGUAUUAGUUAGUUGGUGAGGUAACGGCUCACCAAGACGAUGAUACGUAGCCGACCUGAGAGGGUGAUCGGCCACAUUGGGACUGAGACACGGCCCAAACUCCUACGGGAGGCAGCAGUAGGGAAUCUUCCGCAAUGGACGAAAGUCUGACGGAGCAACGCCGCGUGAGUGAAAGAAGGUUUUCGGAUCGUAAAACUCUGUUGUCAGAGAAGAACAAGUUGGAGAGUAACUGCUCCAGCCUUGACGGUAUCUGACCAGAAAGCCACGGCUAACUACGUGCCAGCCGCCGC
rnacentral:rRNA from 1 species